ACACAGCAAUACAUAACUAACUAACACAGGCAGUGAGAGAGAGAGAAAUCAAAGGCUUAUUCUGAGUUUGGGGCUUGAGCAACUGAGCAGAGGACAGUGCCAUUGACUGAAAGUAGGGAAGCCUGGAAGAAGAAAAGGACGAGGAAUCACGAUGUGGCUCUUGAAAUGUCUUUUAGACAUCGGGAGUAGAGGUACCAGGUAGAUGUUGACUAUUAGUCUCCAGGCUGAAGAGAUCAUUGAGGGCCCCUGGCAUGGGGCUCAUGGGUAAAGCCAGGGACACCCAAGGAGAAAAGAUGAGGGGUCCUGGACCAAGCCCUGGGGCCCUCCAAACUUUAGGGGUAGGACAGAGGAGAAGGAAUCAGACGAAGGAGAGGCCAGCAGGGUGGGAGGAAACCCGGAAGACUGCAGCAACUCAAAGCCAAGAGAAGAGAGAGUUGCAAGAAGGAAAGAGAUCAGAGAAGGGACUGGCUGCAGAGCAAGAAGUUCAGAAGAGCGGCUCCUCCCUGGUGACAGCGACUUCAAAGAAACCAGACGGUUAACAGCAAGCACAGCAGUGGCCAGCUCUGGAGUGUCUACCAAAUGCCUGGCACUUCGAUGGAUUUUCCUGUUGAAUCAUCACCCUCAAGCACUUUUGGGUGAGCCCUCCCCAGCUUUCUCCCAGAGUUGUCCAGGGUCAGGAUCCCUUGCAGGGUCUAUGAACUAAACUGGAGAAUUAGUAGGCACCUCCUCCAAGGCAAACUGGGCUCUGGACCUGAAGCAGAGGGCUGCCCACCCUGUCCAGAUGCCAGUAGCAGCCCUCUCCCAGUUGUGACAACCAAAAAUGUCUCCAGACAUUGCCAAAUGUCCCCUGGAGUGGGGGUGGGGGCGACCAAGACCAUCCCAGCAGCUGAGAACCACCGCUCAAAACGCUGAGGUCUUGCGCUCCUUGGGUCUUUACAAAUAUCUGGGAACAGAAAAGAUCGCCCUGAACACCCUGUACUGCCUUCCACUAACUCAGGUCUCCAACAUGCCCGGGAGGGAGUGAAGAUGCUGAUGGUCCUCCCCUGUCACUCACAGGAGCCCAGAGAGCUCAAUGACACCCGAAGGUCGCACAGCACUGGCCACACUCACUGCCCUCCCACCUACCUCCUCCCACCCACUCUGUCCACCUCCAUGGUUUGCCCUGGCUCGGGGGCAACUCGACACUUCUCCAUGGAACCAAAGGGCUGCUUCCCACUGGAAAAUCCCCAGACCCUGAAAUGACCUGGAGGAGCUGUUGAAGCUAAAAUAACAAGUUCACAUCGGAGUUCACCCUUCCAGCGGCUGAGUGCCCCGAGGAAGGGAGGCUCCCUGCACAGGCCAGGGGUGCUGAUCUCUGAGAUGUUUUCCCCACCCCCACCCCCACGCCGAAGCCAGACAAGCAGCCAGGAACUGGCGUCACCAUUCUCCAGUCCCCCAGACACUCGUCCCACCGCCACCACCCGUGAGCCAUCGUUCCAGGGUCUGACAUUCUGUCGGCUUCACACCACCUCCCAGUGCCCCAGCCAGGAAUGCUUCCUGGAUAAAAUAUUAAACAUGCAAAUCUGA